rnacentral:rRNA from 1 species
CUCGUAGGCGGUUCGUCGCGUCCGGUGUGAAAGUCCAUCGCUUAACGGUGGAUCCGCGCCGGGUACGGGCGGGCUUGAGUGCGGUAGGGGAGACUGGAAUUCCCGGUGUAACGGUGGAAUGUGUAGAUAUCGGGAGGAACAUCGGUGGCGAAGGCGGGUAACUGGACUGCAACUGACGCUGAGGCGCGAAAGUGUGGGGAGCAAACA